AUUGAACGCUGGCGGCAGGCCUAACACAUGCAAGUCGAACGAGUGGCGGACGGGUGAGUAAUGUCUGGGAAACUGCCUGAUGGAGGGGGAUAACUACUGGAAACGGUAGCUAAUACCGCAUACCAUCGGAUGUGCCCAGAUGGGAUUAGCUGGUUGGUGGGGUAAAGGCUCACCUAGGCGACGAUCCCUAGCUGGUCUGAGAGGAUGACCAGCCACACUGGAACUGAUACACGGUCCAGAUGCCGACGGGAGGAAGCAGUGGGGAAUAUGUCACAAUGGGCGCAAUCCUGAUGCAGCCAUGCCGCGUGUAUUAAGAAGGCCUUCGGGUGGUAAAGUACUGUCAGCGGGGAGGCGUUACCCGCAGAAGAAGCACCGGCUAACUCCGUGCCAGCAGCCGCGGUAAUUC
rnacentral:rRNA from 1 species